rnacentral:rRNA from 1 species
UACGUAGGUGGCAAGCGUUGUCCGGAAUUAUUGGGCGUAAAGCGCGCGCAGGCGGUCCUUUAAGUCUGAUGUGAAAGCCCACGGCUCAACCGUGGAGGGUCAUUGGAAACUGGGGGACUUGAGUGCAGAAGAGGAAAGCGGAAUUCCACGUGUAGCGGUGAAAUGCGUAGAGAUGUAGAGGAACACCAGUGGCGAAGGCGGCUUUCUGGUCUGUAACUGACGCUGAGGCGCGAAAGCGUGGGGAGCGAACAGG